rnacentral:misc_RNA from 1 species
GAUGAAGAACGUAGCGAAAUGCGAUACUUGGUGUGAAUUGCAGAAUCCCGUGAACCAUCGAGUCUUUGAACGCAAGUUGCGCCCGAAGCCAUUAGGCCGAGGGCACGCCUGCCUGGGCGUCACACGUCGUUGCCCCCCCAUCUACUCCUUCGGGAUUGCGGGGGGCGGAUGAUGGCCUCCCGUGCGCCUCGUCGCGCGGUUGGCAUAAAUACCAAGUCCUCGGCGACGCACGCCACGACAAUCGGUGGUGGCGAAACCUCGGUUGCCCGUCGUGUGCGGUCGUCGCGCAUCGAGGGCUCGAAAAAAUUGCCGGGCUCCGGCUCGGCUUUCAACGCGACCCCGGGUCAGGCGGGGUUACCCGCUGAAUUUAAGCAUAUCAAUAAGCGGAGGA